CAGCGUUACCCGGAUUUACUGGGCGUAAAGGACGAGAAGGCGGGAACGUAAGUUUACCCUAAAAGUCACCGAGCUCAACUCGGUGAAUGGGGUAAAUACUGCGUUCCUAGAGUCUGCCAGGGGCCAGCGGAACGGUCGGUGUAGGGGUGAAAUCCGAUGAUAUCGACCGGAACGCCGAAGGCGAAGGCAGCUGGCUAGGGCAGUACUGACGCUGAUCUCGUGAAAGCCAGGGGCGCGAACCGGAUUAGAUACCCGGGUAGUCCUGGCCGUAAACGAUGGGUGCUAGCUUUGGGGAGAGUCGACCCUCUUUGAGGCGAAGCUAACGCGUUAAGCACCCCGCCUGGGGAGUAUGUCCGCAAGGCCGAAACUCAAAGGAAUAGGCGGAAGCCCGACCAAGCGGUGGACCAUGUUGCUUAAUUCGAGAGUGACCGA
rnacentral:rRNA from 1 species